CACAGACGUGCGUGACAUUUGGUGCCGAAACACGGCACAGGAGGACUCCUUCAGGAGGCCAGCCCCUGUCCUCGCCCUCACUCCAUGAGGAGAUCCACCUAUGACCUCGGGUCCUCAGACCAAGCAGCCCAAGGAACAUCUCACCAAUUUCAAAUCGUGAAUGUCAGGCCUCUGAUCCCAAGCUAAGCCGUCAUAUCCCCUGUGACCUGCACGUAUACAUCCAGAUGGCCUGAAGCAACUGAAGAUCCACAAAAGAAGGGAAAAUAGCCUUAACUGAUGACAUUCCACCACUGUGAUUUGUUCCUGCCCCACCCUAACUGAUAAGAUAUAGUCUCCCCAACCCUUAAAAAGGUACUUCGUAAUAUUCUCCCCCACCCUUAAGAAUGUACUUUGUACGCCUAUCCCAAACCUAUAGAACUAAUGAUAAUCCCACCACCCUUUGCUGACUCCUUUUUUGGACUCAGGCCACCUGCACCCAGGUGAAAUAAACAGCCUUGUUGCUCACACAAAGCCUGUUGGUGGUCUCUUCACAC
rnacentral:lncRNA from 1 species